UACGGGGGUGCGAGCGUUGUCCGGAAUCACUGGGCGUAAAGGGUGCGUAGGCGGGUCUUUAAGUCAGGGUGAAAUCCUGGAGCUCAACUCCAGAACUGCCUUUGAUACUGAAGAUCUUGAGUUCGGGAGAGGUGAGUGGAACUGCGAGUGUAGAGGUGAAAUUCGUAGAUAUUCGCAAGAACACCAGUGGCGAAGGCGGCUCACUGGCCCGAUACUGACGCUGAGGCACGAAAGCGUGGGAGCAACAGG
rnacentral:rRNA from 1 species